ACGGAGGGUCCAAGCGUUGUCCGGAUUUAUUGGGUUUAAAGGGUACGUAGGCGGGAUUUUAAGUCAGUGGUGAAAGCCUCCAGCUCAACUGGAGAACUGCCAUUGAAACUGAAAUUCUUGAAUAUGGAUGAGGUGGUUGGAAUAUAACAUGUAGCGGUGAAAUGCUUAGAUAUGUUAUAGAACACCAAUUGCGAAGGCAGAUCACUAAACCAUUAUUGACGCUGAGGUACGAAAGCGUGGGGAGCGAACAGG
rnacentral:rRNA from 1 species